rnacentral:rRNA from 1 species
UAAUGCCUAGGAAUCUGCCUGGUAGUGGGGGAUAACGCUCGGAAACGGACGCUAAUACCGCAUACGUCCUACGGGAGAAAGCAGGGGACCUUCGGGCCUUGCGCUAUCAGAUGAGCCUAGGUCGGAUUAGCUAGUUGGUGAGGUAAUGGCUCACCAAGGCGACGAUCCGUAACUGGUCUGAGAGGAUGAUCAGUCACACUGGAACUGAGACACGGUCCAG